AUGAAAGUGGUAUGGUGUGGCCUGUGGAAACAGAGGUUAACAUACUACUCUUCCAACGUUGGGAUACAGCCCUUCUUUUUUAUGUAUCUGUAUUUUUUGGAUGGUGUGUUCUGGGAAUGUUGGAUUUUUGGUAUUUUUGUAGCAGGAGCAUGGAGCAUGGUAUUUUCUCUGGCACAUUUGGCAAAGUCUCCUUCCUUUAUUUGCAAUUUGGAAUUCUUGAUGCAAUGGAUAAGAACGGUUUUGCAGCAAUUUGGGAUUCUUGAUGCAAUGGAUAAGAAUGGAGAACGACUUUAG